UAUUCCAAAUUAACAAUUCUCUCUCCCUCUCUCCCUCUCUCUCCAUGUUGGAAAUCACAUGAACACUCCCUUCCACUAACAUACGCAGAGGGUGUUGGGCUCUUAACCUGCGCACUCCAUCCUCCAUGGCUGGAAUCAGCACCACCAGCUUCCCAUGCAAGCCAAUCUUAUCGCGUACACUUGCAACCCCUCUAUACCAACUCUCUCCAUACUCGACCAGAACUGACUGCAGUCGAUCCGUCCCUACCGUCGUCCUGCGGGCUACCAUAACAGCCAGGUUCGGCGGCGGCGGCGGCUUCCGUCCCAGCCCGGGCGACUCGAGGCGCCCCAGAGGUCCUCGGAAGGUCGAGUUCGAACCCGAUCCUGCCCUUGAUCUAUCCACCGUCAGAUCACCUUCUGUAAGGCUAAUAGAUGAACAACAGAAUAUGGUUGGGGUGGUGUCAAAAAAUGAAGCCAUGCAGAUGGCGGAAAAUGCUGAACUUGAUCUGGUGAUAUUGUCUCCAGAUGCAGAUCCUCCCGUCGUCAGAAUAAUGGAUUACAACAAAUAUAGGUAUGAGCAGCAAAAGAAGAAAAGGGGGCAACAGAAAAAAAGUGCUGCAAGUCGUAUGGAUAUGAAGGAGCUCAAAAUGGGGUACAACAUUGAUUCUCAUGAUUAUUCCGUGCGGUUGAAAGCUGCCCAGAAAUUUCUCAAAGAUGGAGACAAGGUUAAGGUCAUAGUGAACCUGAAGGGCCGUGAAAACGAGUUCAGGAAUAUUGCCAUCGAACUUAUCAAACGGUUUCAGAAUGAAGUUGGGGAGCUUGCAAUGGAGGAGAGCAAAAAUUUCAGUGAUAGGAACAUCUUUAUUGUUCUAAUCCCCAACAAGACAGUUCAGCAAAAGGCACAAGAACUUCCAAAUAAACGGGAAAAGCCAGUGACUGGAGUUUCUGCAGGUGUCUGAUGAGAAUCGUGAUUUCUGCAUGGGUGGUUUUGACAUCUAGUAAUGAAAAAGCAUUCCCACCUUUAAGGGGUCCAGAUUGUCUGUCCGGUUGGCCCCACUGCGGAUAUGUGAUGAACCAAAGUUUGUGAAGGUUGGAUAAUCCCAACCAUCCGAUUGUUGGCCUGCAAAUGAUGGUUAGAAAUUUAUUUAUGUAUAGUGAACAGUCUAUGCCAUGUGAAGAAGUUGAUCAAUAAGAUGUGUAGGAGUUAGUGGC